rnacentral:rRNA from 1 species
UGCGUAGGCGGUUUGUUAAGUCUGACGUGAAAUCCCCGGGCUCAACCUGGGACGUGCGUUGGAAACUGGCGAUCUAGAGUACGGUAGAGGGUGGUGGAAUUCCCGGUGUAGCAGUGAAAUGCGUAGAUAUCGGAAAGAACAUCAGUGGCGAAGGCGACAACCUGGAUCUUAACUGACACUGAGGCGCGAAGGCGUGGGGAGCAAACAGGAUUAGAUACCCUAGUA